rnacentral:rRNA from 1 species
UACGGAGGAUCCAAGCGUUAUCCGGAAUCAUUGGGUUUAAAGGGUCCGUAGGCGGUUUGGUAAGUCAGUGGUGAAAGCCCAUCGCUCAACGGUGGAACGGCCAUUGAUACUGCCAGACUUGAAUUAUUAGGAAGUAACUAGAAUAUGUAGUGUAGCGGUGAAAUGCUUAGAGAUUACAUGGAAUACCAAUUGCGAAGGCAGGUUACUACUAAUGGAUUGACGCUGAGGCACGAAAGCGUGGGGAUCAAACAGG